rnacentral:rRNA from 1 species
UACGUAGGGAGCAAGCGUUGUCCGGAAUCAUUGGGCGUAAAGCGCGCGUAGGCGGCUUCGUAAGUCCGUUGUGAAAGUCCAAGGCUCAACCUUUGAAAGCCGAUGGAUACUGCGGAGCUAGAGUACGGAAGAGGCGAGUGGAAUUCCUGGUGUAGCGGUGGAAUGCGCAGAUAUCAGGAGGAACACCAAUAGCGAAGGCAGCUCGCUGGGACGUUACUGACACUGAGGCGCGAAAGCGUGGGGAGCGAACAGG